rnacentral:rRNA from 1 species
CACGUAGGGCGCAAGCGUUGUCCGGAAUUAUUGGGCGUAAAGAGCUCGUAGGCGGUCUGUUGCGUCCGCUGUGAAAACUCGGGGCUUAACCCCGAGCCUGCAGUGGAUACGGGCAGACUAGAGGUAGGUAGGGGAGAAUGGAAUUCCUGGUGUAGCGGUGAAAUGCGCAGAUAUCAGGAAGAACACCUAUGGCGAAGGCAGCUCUCUGGGACGGUACUGACGCUGAGACGCGAAAGCGUGGGGAGCGAACAGG